rnacentral:rRNA from 1 species
GAACUGUAAAGGAGCAAUUUAAAAACAGAUAAAGAAUAAAUAAGAAGUAAUACCUUUUGUAUCAGGGUUUGUUAAUAUAUUCAUUUACAGAAAGAUUUCGAAAUUACUUGAUCUAGAAGAAGAUGAGAUUAUUUAUAGCAAAAAUUAUGUUUAUUUCUUUUUAGAGGUGAAAAUUCAGACGAAUGUAAUGAUAUCUAAUUAAAAAUGAAAUAAUAAAGUUAUUAUUUUGUAAAAAAUAAAUUUAAUCAGGUAAGCUGAUUAAAUUUAAAUAAAAAUAUAAUUUAUUGAUAACUAGGCUUUUGAUUAGCUAUGUUUAUAAUUUGUAUUGAAUAAUCUUUAAAAGAAAAUAUGAAAUUUAUAAGUAAUUUUUUAUCUUUAAAAAUAAAUAAGAAGGAUUAAUAAUGAUUAAAUUAGUAUUUUUGAGUGUUAAUAUAUAUAUAUUAACUAGAUUAAUUUUUGACUGUUUAACAAAAACAUUUUUUUCUAGAGGUGUAGAAAAUACAACCUGCCCAGUGAAAGUUUAACGGCUGCGGUAUUUUGACCGUGCUAAGGUAGCAUAAUAAAUUGUUUUUUAAUUGAGAACUGGAAUGAAAGGUUAAACAACUAUUAAAUUUAUUAGAUUUAAUAGAGGAAUUUUUAUUAUAAGUAAGAAUACUUAUAUGUUAUAAAGGGACGAUAAGACCCUAGAAGCUUUAAUUCGAGAGUGUGUAAAUGAGUUAUAUUUUACAUUUUAUACAAGAUAGAAUUUUGAUUGGGGAAAUAUUAAUUUUAUUAAUAAUUAUUUUUUUUAGGUUAAGAAAUAUUCUAAGUCUUUUAGAUUAAAAGAAAAAGGUUAGUUACUCUAGGGAUAACAGCGUAAUAAUUUUGGAUAGGCCUUAUAUAUAAAAUUGAUUACGACCUCGAUGUUGAAUUAGAAUAUCUUUAUAAAGUAGAAAUUAUAGGAGAAGGUUUGUUCAACCUUUAAUAUUUUACAUGAUUUGAGUUCAAACCGGUUUAAGCCAGGUUGGUUUCUAUCUUUUAUAAGAAAAUAAUUUUUUAGUACGAAAGGACCAAAUAAUUUUAAUAAUU